AAAAAAAUCACAAACGAUAUCAGAAACUCUCCAACGGAAUUAUCUAACAGAGAAAAGGGAUGGUGACCAUGCACCUUGCUGGGCCAGCCCCUACGACAACAACAACCACCACGACUACACCAAUGACCACAGCCAUAGAGCUAACCAGCUCUACAACUGCCAAGUCGUGCAAAGUGGGAAAGGUGGACCCUAGUGCUCCUGUGAUUUGAUUGUUUGGGCCCCAUUGGCUGCUGGCUGUGGCCUCCUCUUCCUCCUCAACAUCACCGUAUCCCAUUGCAACCGUGAGUCCUGCAUUCACUCACCAAUAUACCCCCAUGUAUCCAUGAAACACCCACCAAA